UACGUAGGGUGCGAGCGUUGUCCGGAAUUACUGGGCGUAAAGAGCUCGUAGGUGGUUUGUCGCGUUGUUCGUGAAAUCUCACGGCUUAACUGUGAGCGUGCGGGCGAUACGGGCAGACUAGAGUACUGCAGGGGAGACUGGAAUUCCUGGUGUAGCGGUGGAAUGCGCAGAUAUCAGGAGGAACACCGGUGGCGAAGGCGGGUCUCUGGGCCGAAACUGACGCUGAGGAGCGAAAGCGUGGGGAGCAAACAGG
rnacentral:rRNA from 1 species